rnacentral:rRNA from 1 species
UCAGACGAUGCGUCAUGCAUAUCAAUAAGCGGAGGAAAAGAAACUAACAAGGAUUCCCCUAGUAACGGCGAGUGAAGCGGGAAGAGCUCAAAUUUGAAAUCUUAAAGGGUUUCCCUUUACGAAUUGUAGUUUAAAGAAGUGUUUUCUGUUGAGGUUUUGGUAAAAGUUCUUUGGAAUAGGACAUCAUAGAGGGUGAGAAUCCCGUAUUUGACCUUUACUUUCAACUUUGUGAUACACUUUCAAAGAGUCGGAUUGUUUGGGAAUGCAGUCCAAAAUGGGUGGUAAAUUUCAUCUAAAGCUAAAUAUUGGCGAGAGACCGAUAGCGAACAAGUACCGUGAGGGAAAGAUGAAAAGAACUUUGAAAAGAGAGUUAAACAGUACGUGAAAUUGUCAAAAGGGAAGCGUUUGACACCAGUGUUGUUUUUCUGAAAAUCAAUUAAAGAACUGUUUAUGCUAAGCUGUUUAGACUUUAUCAGCUAUCUGUUUAGUUUUGAGCUUUUCUUUAAUGCACUUUUCAGUUAACAAGUCAACAUCAAUUCCUUUUGCUGUAAAAAAGCUUGAGGAAGGUGGCUUGAGAUUCGUCUUAAGUGUUUAUAGCCUCUUGCCUAUGCAGUCGGAGAGAUUGAGGUCUGCAGCGUAGAUCCUUCGGGGCUAAAUGCAUUUGUGCUAAGUUAUAGCAUUUUAUAGACAACUUGUUGACUAUGAUUUGUCUUGUAGCUUACUCGCUUAUGUUAUUUUACCUACGCUUAGGAUGUUGAAUCUGUGCGAGACUAC